rnacentral:lncRNA from 1 species
UCCCGGUGGGCUGUCCAAACAACAGUUUUGUCUUUGGAAUUGGUGAACCAAAUUGCAAACCAAUAAGCGUUGCUUCCCAUUCCAGAAAAGCCACAGGUAAAUGUAUUAUCUGGUGAGGUGAUGAAAUCAUCGCCUUCGACAGAUAUAGAAUCACCCCUUCUCAAAUGAAGCAGAGACUUCGAAUUUGCAGAACGAGAAAAGGACAAAACGAUUAGUAAAAAGAGGAGAAUACAGAGACUGUUGUCUUUGGUAGCUAUCCUGUUGUUAAAGAAGGAAAUCUUACAAAGCAAUUUGAGAGUCUGGCUUCUCAUUUUGGAACGCAUUAUGCUUAUACCAAGAAAAUGGAAUGUGUAAUCAUUGAAGUAAACUUUAUAGAUAAGAAUGAGUGUAUUUAUUAGAAGAGUUUCAGGAUAUGGACAGAAGGAGCAAAUUUCCAGGUUUAUUAAUGCAAAUAUCACAAGCCAGGUCUGUUUACACAACAUUGAAAAUCCUCCACGUUAUUAAUCUAUUUUAAAAUUAUAAUAUGGGUAAAAAUCUAAAAAUAAAAAUUAGCCGUAGUUAUCUUGUUAACUUCAUUGUCAACGACCGCAGGUGCACGGAGGACAUUAAGAGACUAAAAUCAAUGGAUUAUGUCUGCGUGACACGAGAGAUGACUUCAGCAUUCUAUCCUCAAAAGAAAAACCAAAAGGAUAUUUUGUUUAAUUCUAUUCAAACAAAUUUAAAAGAGAAACCAAAUACCGUAUAAAUGUAGAAAGAAAGCAUAAAGUAAACGCGAUGAUGAAAGAAUUUGACAAGUAAUUCACAGUCUUGAUCUAUAAAUAGUAAUUUGUCUGAUAAAAUUCUAUUUUCUAUCUAGAAACAAAUAUCUUAUUAUUAUCUUUAAUCUUUCAAGUAAUUGCUGAACCAAAUUGCAAACCAAUAAGCGUUGCUACCCAUUCCAGAAAAGCCACAGGUAAAUGUAUUAUCUGGUGAGGUGAUGAAAUCAUCGCCUUCGACAGAUAUAGAAUCACCCCUUCUCAAAUGAAGCAGAGACUUCGAAUUUGCAGAACGAGAAAAGGACAAAACGAUUAGUAAAAAGAGGAGAAUACAGAGACUGUUGUCUUUGGUAGCUAUCCUGUUGUUAAAGUAGGAAAUCUUACAAAGCAAUUUGAGAGUUUGGCUUCCCAUUUUGGAACGAAUUAUGCUUAUACCAAGAAAAUGGAAUGUGUAAGUAUUGCAAUAAACUUUAUAGAUAAGAAUGAGUGAAAUAUCAGACCUCAGAAG